rnacentral:rRNA from 1 species
AUUGAACGCUGGCGGCAUGCUUUACACAUGCAAGUCGAACGGUAACAGGGUGCUUGCACCGCUGACGAGUGGCGAACGGGUGAGUAAUGCGUCGGAACGUGCCGAGUAGUGGGGGAUAACGCAGCGAAAGUUGUGCUAAUACCGCAUACGUACUGAGGUAGAAAGUGGGGGACCUUCGGGCCUCACGCUAUUCGAGCGGCCGACGUCUGAUUAGCUAGUAGGUGAGGUAAAGGCUCACCUAGGCGACGAUCAGUAGCGGGUCUGGGAGGAUGGUCCGCCACACUGGGACUGAGACACGGCCCAGGCUCCUACGGGAGGCAGCAGUGGGGAAUUUUGGACAAUGGGCGAAAGCCUGAUUCAGCCAUGCCGCGUGUCUGGAGAAGGCCUUCGGGUUGUAAAGGACUUUUGUCGGGGAGGAAAUCCCCAGCGUUAAUACCGCUGGGGGAUGACAGUACCUGAAGAAUAAGCACCGGCUAACUACGUGCCAGCCGCCGCCGUAA